GGGACAACGUUUCGAAGGAACGCUAAUACCGCAUACGUCCUACGGAGAAGCAGGGACCUUCGGCCUUGCGCUAUCAGAUGAGCCUAGGUCGGAUUAGCUAGUUGGUGAGGUAAUGGCUCACCAAGGCGACGAUCCGUAACUGGUCUGAGAGGAUGAUCAGUCACACUGGAACUGAGACACGGUCCAGACUCCUACGGGAGGCAGCAGUGGGGAAUAUUGGACAAUGGGCGAAAGCCUGAUCCAGCCAUGCCGNGUGUGUGAAGAAGGUCUUCGGAUUGUAAAGCACUUUAAGUUGGGAGGAAGNGCAGU
rnacentral:rRNA from 1 species